AGGAUGAACGCUAGCGGCAGGCCUAAUACAUGCAAGCUGAACGGUAAAUGUUGUAGCAAUACAAUAUGAGAGUAGCGUAAGGGUGCGUAACACGUAUGCAAUCUGCCCUGUACAGGAGAAUAGCUCGGCGAAAGCCGGAUUAAUGCUCCGUAAUAUUGAGUUAUGGCAUCAUGAUUACAAUUAAAGUCGACAAGAUGGUACAGGAUGAGCAUGCGUCUGAUUAGCUAGUUGGUAGUGUAACGGACUACCGAAGGCGAUGAUCGAGUAGGGAACUGGAGAGGUUGACUCCCCGACACUGGCACUGAGACUACGGGCCAGACCUCGUACGGGAGGCAGGCAGGUAGGAAUAGUUGGUACAGUGGGUGAGAGCCGUAGAACCAGCC
rnacentral:rRNA from 1 species